rnacentral:rRNA from 1 species
AGAGCGAACGCUGGCGGCAGGCCUAACACAUGCAAGUCGAGCGGCCGUAGCAAUACGGCAGCGGCAGACGGGAGAGUAACACGUGGGAACGCGCCCUUCGGUUCGGAAUAACUCAGGGAAACUUGGGCUAAUACCGGAUACGCCCUUACGGGGAAAGAUUUAUUGCCGAAGGAACGGCCCGCGUCCGAUUAGCUUGUUGGUGAGGUAACGGCUCACCAAGGCGACGAUCGGUAGCUGGUCUGAGAGGAUGACCAGCCUCACUGGGACUGAGACACGGCCCAGACUCCUACGGGAGGCAGCAGUGGGGAAUAUUGGACAAUGGGCGCAAGCCUGAUCCAGCCAUGCCGCGUGGAUGAUGAAGGCCUUAGGGUUGUAAAGUCCUUUUAACGGGAAGAUAAUGACGGUACCCGUAGAAUAAGCCCGGCUAACUUCGCGCCAGCAGCCGC